AUGUCGGGGCUCCAGUAUUGGGCAGACCUCCCCAAUGAUCUGCUUCACUCCAUUGUUUCUCUGUUGGGCACCUUCCCUGACCUUCUUGCCUUUGCUGCCACUUGCCGCUCAUGGUGUGCCGCCUUCUCCUCACAUCCAUCCAAAUCUAACUUCUCGACACUUCUCCCACCUCUCCUCCUCCAACCUGAUGUCCCUAGUCCUCUGGAUAGUUAUGAUUUCUGGGGUGCUUCCUAUGGACAUCUCAUCUUGUCCAACAAGAAAUCUUGUCUUGUUGUUGAUGUCUUCACAGGUGUUAGUGUCUCAACUCCACAGACUGCUCCUCCAGCAUCACCCCACUCACAUCUCCUUGUCACCACCGGAAGUCAGAAUUUCUUUUGGCUUGUUGGUAGCCAUGCUUGGUUGAGUUGUUCUGCGCACAUUGGAAUACUCAAGCAAGUAGUGAUCUUCAAGGGUCAGGUCUUCGGUAUGGAUUAUGAUUGCAGGCUCUUUAUCAUACACUUGGUACCUCAAAUUCGCAUAGAGAAAAUAGCAGUUGAUUAGGAGGGAAGCAUGACCAGCAAACAACAUCUUUCUCACCCAUGGCUUGUGGCGUGCGGUGAUAUGCUUCUCCUUGUCGGUUGCCAUCGAUCUCUUCCAUCAACCGGGGAUAACUUUGAAGCCUUCCGCCUCGACUUAUCGAGAAAACCUGCAAAGUGGUUGAAGGUGGAGAAGCUAGAGAAUUGGGCGAUAUUCUUCAGCAUUGACGAAAGAAGCCAGCCGUUGUGUUGCAAGAACCCAGAGAGAUGGGGAGGGACGAGCAACUGCAUAUACUGCUAUUUCCAUGAUUCCAAAAAUUGGAUCACAUUUGAGUUGGGUAAGCCACUGCAGGGAGAGGCCUCCAAUCCAAGCGUCAUUAUUUUCAUAAGCCGUGACGAUGUGAUGCAACCUAUGUGGGUCAUGCCUAGUAUGUUCUGUGAUGGUUGA
rnacentral:rRNA from 1 species